rnacentral:rRNA from 1 species
GACGAACGCUGGCGGCGUGCUUAACACAUGCAAGUCGAGCGGUAAGGCCCUUUCGGGGGUACGACGAGCGGCGAACGGGUGAGUAACACGUGGGUGACCUGCCCUUAGCUCUGGGAUAAGCCUGGGAAACUGGGUCUAAUACCGGAUAUGACUCCAUGACGCAUGUUGUGGGGUGGAAAGCCUUGUGCGGCUAGGGAUGGGCCCGCGGCCUAUCAGCUUGUUGGUGGGGUGAUGGCCACCAAGGCGACGACGGGUAGCCGGCCUGAGAGGGCGACCGGCCACACUGGGACUGAGACACGGCCCAGACUCCUACAGGAGGCAGCAGUGGGGAAUCUUGCGCAAUGGGCGAAAGCCUGACGCAGCGACGCCGCGUGA